rnacentral:sRNA from 1 species
UAGGGAUUGUAGCGGCAUCCUUUUUUUGCUAUUUCUGCAAACAAAAGAUAUAGCGAAAAGACUGCUCGAAU